rnacentral:hammerhead_ribozyme from 1 species
AUCUAGAUGACGAGUCCCAAAUAGGACGAAAUGUUGGUUGUCCUAGAU